rnacentral:lncRNA from 1 species
AAGUCAAUCACCGGCCAGGUGUGAGAAGAGUGCCGUCGGGAUCUGGACGAUCCAAAACUCCCACUGCAGAGAUCGAGAGAUGUGCUUACAGAGCUCCUGUUUCACCUGUGCAUAAGGUGCCGGGUGACGAUGCGAGCUACAGCGCAGAGAACCUGAGGCGACUUGCCCGCAGUCUGAGUGGGACGGUCAUUGGCACUCGUUCACAAAACCCGGGCUCAUCUCACACCUCAGUAAGUCACACGAACACACGUGAUUUUUCAAACCUAGUCACAUUUUUGAUUCAUACAAAGCCUUCGAUCCAUCUUAACUGGUCACUAGUACUCACAAAUUUAACAUUACACUGCCACCUUGUGUUUAGUGCCCAAACUGCAGCAUUCCAUGUCAUAUAUUUGCCCUUCACAACUUGGUAUAAACGGUGUAGUAGGUUUUGUUUCCUUUCUGCUCAGCAUAUAUCGACACUCUAAG